AGCUCCCGUUGAUCCCCUGGUCUUCGGGGAAAACUUUCUCGGUAUGGGAUGGGGUCGCGUCCUCUCAUCUUGACGGCGGGGUAACAGCCCACCGCGGCUUCGACGGGUAGCCGGCCUGAGAGGGCGACCGGCCACAUUGUGACUGAGAUACGGCCCACACUCCUCCGGGAGGCAGCAGUGGGGAAUAUUGUACAAUGGGCGCAAGCCUGAUGCAGCGACGCCCCGUGAGGGAUGGAGGCCUUCUGGUUGUAAACCUCUUUUAUCGUGGAGCAAGCGAGAGUGAUUUUACCCGUUGAAUAAGCACCUGCUAACUACCUGCCAGCAGCCGCGGUAAUACGUAGGGUGCAAGCGUUAUCCGGAAUUAUUGGUCGUAAAGGGCUCGUAGGCGGUUCGUCGCGUCCGGUGUGAAACUCCAUCGCUUAACGGUGGAUCCGCGCCGGGUACGGGCGGGCUUGAGUGCGGUAGGGGAGACUGGAAUUCCCGGUGUAACGGUGGAAUGUGUAGAUAUCGGGAAGAACACCAAUGGCGAAGGCAGGUCUCUGGGCCGUUACUGACGCUGAGGAGCGAAAGCGUGGGGAGCGAACAGGAUUAGAUACCCUGGUAGUCCACGCCGUAAACGGUGGAUGCUGGAUGUGGGGCCCGUUCCACGGGUUCCGUGUCGGAGCUAACGCGUUAAGCAUCCCGCCUGGGGAGUACGGCCGCAAGGCUAAAACUCAAAGAAAUUGACGGGGGCCCGCACAAGCGGCGGAGCAUGCGGAUUAAUUCGAUGCAACGCGAAGAACCUUACCUGGGCUUGACAUGUUCCCGACGGUCGUAGAGAUACGGCUUCCCUUCGGGGCGGGUUCACAGGUGGUGCAUGGUCGUCGUCAGCUCGUGUCGUGAGAUGUUGGGUUAAGUCCCGCAACGAGCGCAACCCUCGCCCCGUGUUGCCAGCGGAUUAUGCCGGGAACUCACGGGGGACCGCCGGGGUUAACUCGGAGGAAGGUGGGGAUGACGUCAGAUCAUCAUGCCCCUUACGUCCAGGGCUUCACGCAUGCUACAAUGGCCGGUACAACGGGAUGCGACGCGGCGACGCGGAGCGGAUCCCUGAAAACCGGUCUCAGUUCGGAUCGCAGUCUGCAACUCGACUGCGUGAAGGCGGAGUCGCUAGUAAUCGCGAAUCAGCAACGU
rnacentral:rRNA from 1 species